UUUUUCUUUUUUCCUCCUUCACGUGAAAUCCCUUCCCCCCUCUCAACCUUGUUCUUUCUUCUCUUUCUUUGCCCAGCUGCUAGCCUCCCCGACAAGAUCUGAUGAACGACAGCGCUCCUCCCGACAACACACUCCUGCAGACGACGGCGCAGCAAGAAACUCGGCGGGCAGCGACAUUCUACUCUAUUUCGCGGCAGUUCGAGGUGGGCGCGGCGGUCUGCUGUGUUGGGCGAUGUCUCGAGGUUUCAGUGGCAGCCAACAACCCAUUUCAACUUAGUCUGGGAGGCCCUCAUGCCCUUGUGGCGAUGAUUACGGCUGUAAGGACAUUUUUGAUGCAUUCUGCUGCUAUAAAAAACGACAACAAAGUCGUUGGAAGUUGUUUCGGCGCGUUCCUCUGUUGCAAAACAUGGACAGCAGCAGCUUCGUGGUGUUUGACGCGUUCAAAGCCCGAUUUACGUUACCCACCCUUGCUCGAGUUAGAUAUGAGUUAUCCACACCUAAGCGAAGUCGUUUUGUAUAACGGAUAGCAAAACGAAGUCGUUGGAAGUUGUUUCGACGCGUUCCUCUGCUACAAAACGUGGACAACAGCAGUUUCGUGGUGUUUGGUGCUUACCCACACCCGUUCGAAGCUUGAUUUACGUUACCCACCCUUACUCGAGUUAGAUAUGAGUUACCCACACUCAAACGAAGUCAUUUUUGUGUAACGGACCAUGCAAACUCUCCUUAUAACUGAUUUUUAUGUCCGAAA